rnacentral:miRNA from 2 species
UGUGAUGUAGAUUUUAAUACCU